rnacentral:rRNA from 1 species
UACGAAGGGGGCGAGCGUUGUUCGGAAUUACUGGGCGUAAAGGGCGCGUAGGCGGCGACUCUAGUCAGAUGUCGAAAGUCCGUGGGCUUAACCUGGGGACUGCAUUUGAUACUGGGUUGCUUGAAUUCGGGAGAGGACUAGCGGAAUUCCCAGUGUAGAGGUGAAAUGCGUGAGAGAGUCGGGAGGAACACCAGAGGCGAAGGCGGCUCGCUGGACAAGUAUUGACACUCAACUACGGAAAGCGUGGGGAGCAAACAGG